rnacentral:tRNA from 1 species
GCGCCGAUGGUUUAGUGGUAAAAUCCAUCGUUGCCAUCGAUGGGCCCCCCGUUUCGAUUCCGGGUCGGCGCC